rnacentral:rRNA from 1 species
AUGUUGCAAUUUUCUCAUCCUGGCCGAUCCACCCCUAUAAGUUCACGCCUCUUGACUUUCUUUCAACUCACAAAACUAGUGACUUCCAUUCCCUUUUCUAGUUUUACCCUUCGGUCAGCAAUAGCUCGCAAGAAGGUGGCACUCCGAUACAUCCACAACAGGUCAACCCGGUGUGUUACCUUCAAGAAGCGUCACAAUAUCCAGAUGAAGAAGGCAGGUGAGUUGGACACCAUGUGCAACAACAAGGCUUGUGUGCUGGUGUAUGGUGAGUGUUCCUCGGUGCCGGAUGUCUUCCCAUCCCACGCUGAUGCGGUGGCGAUCCUGAAUUGGUACAAGGACAUGCCAGACCUUGUGCAGUUGAAGAAUACUGUCAGCCAGGAGGAAUUCCUUAUCGAGCGGAUUACUAACCUCCAAGAAGAGGCCAAUAGGUUUCGACAUGAGUGUGAGGACCGCGAGAUCCGAAUCCUCCUACAUAAGGCCAUGCUUGGUGGUAGCCUCGACGUCCAUGAGCUUACCCUUGUUGGCCCUAAGUUGGAGGUCAUCCUCAAGAACCUUGGUGAGCGCAUCGCAAAAAUUAGUACACGGAACUCCCCGGUAUUUCAACCACAAGCGCCAUAGGUCACCAAUAACAUCGACAUGGGCCCUCCGAUGAUGUAUCAAGCGCUUCAACAGCAACAAGUGGGUUGGCUUGACAACAAGUCCAAGGGGACCUCAACACCUUGGUCUACAACGACUAAGUAA